AGAAACUUAGGAUAACCCACCAAACCGAAG
rnacentral:tRNA from 3 species